UUAAGGGUGACGAUAGCGGCGGGGAUACACCUCUUCCCAUUCCGAACAGAGAAGUUAAGCCCGCCAGCGCCGAUGGUACUGCAAGGGAGACUUUGUGGGAGAGUAGGUCGUCGCCCAUUUUU
rnacentral:rRNA from 1 species